rnacentral:rRNA from 1 species
GACGAACGCUGGCGGCGUGCCUAAUACAUGCAAGUCGAGCGGAUCUAAAGGAGCUUGCUCCUUUAGAUUAGCGGCGGACGGGUGAGCAACACGUGGGCAACCUGCCCUGCAGAUUGGGAUAACUCCGGGAAACCGGGGCUAAUACCGAAUAAUAUAGAAGAUUACAUGAUCUUCUUUUGAAAGAUGGCUUUAGCUGUCACUGCAGGAUGGGCCCGCGGCGCAUUAGCUAGUUGGUGAGGUAACGGCUCACCAAGGCGACGAUGCGUAGCCGACCUGAGAGGGUGAUCGGCCACACUGGGACUGAGACACGGCCCAGACUCCUACGGGAGGCAGCAGUAGGGAAUCUUCCGCAAUGGACGAAAGUCUGACGGAGCGACGCCGCGUGAGUGAUGAAGGUUUUCGGAUCGUAAAACUCUGUUGUCAGGGAAGAACACGUACGGGAGUAACUGUCCGUACCUUGACGGUACCUGACCAGAAAGCCACGGCUAACUACGUGCCAGCAGCCGCCGUAAUAC